UGCAGGGUGAGGAUAGGCACAGGCACUCAUUGCAGGAAACCAUGCCCGUCGUGUGUAACUGCAUUUGAGAAAGUUGUAAGGGGGUAUGCAGAGAACCCUUCAGAGAACGUCAUUGUGCUGAUGCUGGGCUCAAGCUUCGAUUCGCUCGGAGAAGCUUAUGAUUUCUACAACUUUUAUUCCUGGGACAGGGGAUUUGGAACAAGGUACAAGAAGAGUAGAGUGAAUGUCGAGAGGAUGAAGGGCAUGCAGGAGGUCAUGUGCGGGUGCUUGGGGAAAGGCCGGCGUGGAGAACACUAGGUCUAGGUCCUACCGGUGUGAGUGUGCCAUUUAUGAAGAAGUCUAUGAAAAAUCUGCGUUGAAAGAUAGCAAGGAGCAGGCGGAUGACGAUGUGAGGAAGACAAAUGGAAGUGUUUGCUGAAUUGGGGGCAAAGGAUCCACACUUUACAUACCAUGUGCAGGCUGACAAAGAAGGUCGGAUAAAAAAUGUGUUGUGAGCGAAUGGCAGCAGCAGUCUGCAAUAUAGUUUCUUUGGCGACGCAGUGACGUUUGGUGCAACGUACCAGACGAACCUUUACGACACAUAUUCAGACUUUUUGUUGGGGUUAACAACAAUUUUCAGAGUAUUAUACUGCCUGGUGUACUGGUAUGCCACUAGACUGACGAGAGUUUUGAGUGUGUUUUUCCAGACUUUGUACGGAUGAAGAGAGGCGUGGUGCCGAAGACAAUACUCAUUGACUAGAAUCGGAUGAAGAAUUGCAUAAAAGAACAUGGCUGGACAGGGGUGAUGUCCCCGAAGCAACCCCGGAAGCCUGCAAGGUGUGAUAAUUGUGGGUACGUAUGAAGGCCAUAAGAGGAACACCUGCACCAAGGCAAUGGAGAUGAGGUUAGAAAAUGUGUGAUGCUGGAGUGUAGUGCUAGGUCUAAGGGGUUGUUCCUGGUUAUUUGUAACAUGUGAUGUUGUGUUGUCGUGGACUAUUUCUGAUUUGGUGUUGCACUGGUUGGCGGGCUGAACUGUAGUUAAAAAAAUCUGGCGUUGUUUCAGUUAAUUAAUUGCCCAUGGUGCGAUG